rnacentral:tRNA from 1 species
GCCUGGGUGGCUCAGCAGUUGAGCAUCUGCCUUUGGCACAGGAUGUGAUUGCAGAGUCCUGGGAUCGAGUCCCACAUCAGGCU